GACGGAGGGGGCAAGCGUUGUCCGGACUCACUGGGCGUAAAGGGUGCGUAGGCGGCCCUGUGCGUCGGCGCUGAAAGCGCCCGGCUUAACCGGGCGAGGCGUGCCGAUACGACGGGGCUCGAGGCGCAGAGAGGGUGGCGGAACUCCUGGUGUAGUGGUGAAAUGCGUAGAUAUCGGGAGGAACACCAGUGGCGAAGGCGACUUCCUGGCCUGUUCUUGACGCUGAGGCGCGAAAGCUAGGGUAGCAAACGGG
rnacentral:rRNA from 1 species